rnacentral:rRNA from 1 species
AUGGUCCUGGAGGCUAAAAAAUUAUCUCUGAAUGACUCUCCACAUGCAAUUUCCUGGGCACUUAAUAGUAAAAGAAAAUUUACUACUAAGUCAGUUUAUGAGUUGCCGGAGAGAAGCUUAUCUGGCCCUAACUAUAAAUGAGUGUGGAAAGCUAAUAUCCCGCUUAAAAUUAAAUUUUUCUUAUGGCAGCUAUUUCAAAAUGGUGUACUUACGCGGGAUAAUUUACGCAACAGAAAGUGGUCUGGAAUUCAUGUGUGCUCUUUUUGUACAGAUGUGGAAACAUCAAAUCAUUUGUUCUUUACUUGCCCGCUUGCCCGUACGAUCUGGGGGUGCUCGGAAUGA